rnacentral:tRNA from 1 species
UUCAAAAUAUUUUAAAUGUAGAAUACAAAUUUUGUAAUUUUGUGGUUAUUUUUGAAA